UGGGGAAUAUUGCACAAUGGGCGCAAGCCUGAUGCAGACAUGCCGCGUGUAUGAAGAAGGCCUUCGGGUUGUAAAGUACUUUCAGCGAGGAGGAAGGCGGUAAGGUUAAUAACCUUAUCGAUUGACGUUACUCGCAGAAGAAGCACCGGCUAACUCCGUGCCAGCAGCCGCGGUAAUACGGAGGGUGCAAGCGUUAAUCGGAAUUACUGGGCGUAAAGCGCACGCAGGCGGUCUGUCAAGUCGGAUGUGAAAUCCCCGGGCUCAACCUGGGAACUGCAUUCGAAACUGGCAGGCUAGAGUCUUGUAGAGGGGGGUAGAAUUCCAGGUGUAGCGGUGAAAUGCGUAGAGAUCUGGAGGAAUACCGGUGGCGAAGGCGGCCCCCUGGACAAAGACUGACGCUCAGGUGCGAAAGCGUGGGGAGCAAACA
rnacentral:rRNA from 1 species